GCCAACACGAUCCUUUAUAAACUCAAAACAUAGGCCGACCAGGCCGUACAAUCUUUUAGAUACACAACAUAUGUCUACAAGCCUCUAAGAGUACAUAAAUGUCAUAAAGGUCGGGACAGAGUCCCACCUUACCAAACAAUACACGUCUAAAUCAUACUAACCAAACGAGAAACUCCGAAGCAAAUGGAGCGCACCAACAUUUUCCGCUGAGCUGAUAGCCUACUUUGAGGACUCUUAACCUAUCUAUCAGGACCUGCGGGCAUGAAACAUAGCGUCCCCAGGCAAAAGGGAUGUCAGUACGAAUAAUGUACCGAGUAUGUAAGGCACAUAAAUAAAUCCAUAAGAGACAUAGAAGAAAUAUAGAGUACAUGACUCAACCUGUAAGUCUGAAUAACCUUGUAAAUGAUAAAUUAGUUUUAGCAUCAUACAUAUGCGUAUGAAUGUCAUGUCCUGCAUAGAUAUAUGUUUCAUAACAUCAUCAGCCUCUAAGGGCAUCCCAUCAUGUCAUAUCGGCCACUGUGGGCAAAAUCGUCAUCGUAUACCAGCUGAUCAGGUGGUGGUACGUAUAAAAUGCCAUAACCUUUCCCAUAUAUACGCUUAUAUAACGCCAUUUAAAUCAUAUUUACAUAUAUACGCGUAUAUAGUGCCAUUUGAAUCAUAUUUCAGCCAAUGUGGGCAACAUAAUCAUCAUAUAUCAGCUGAUCAGGUGGUGGUGCGUAUAUAACGCCAUAACCUUUCCCAUAUGCCAUAUACAUAUAUAUACAUACAUAUAUAUGCGUAUAUAACACCAUCUGGUCAUGGGUCAAUGCACAUGAAUGCAAUCCAUGAAAAGUACGUUAAUAAAAUCUUUCGGAGCUUAAUAAGACCAUUUUGCCUUUGAGCAAUAUCAUAAAGUAAACUCUUUUAAACUUUCAUAUUUUUCUGAGACCCAUGAACAGAUGAUAAAAUAUUAUGACACACGGAAAUUCAAGAACAUAGAUAUCUCUAAUACUUCUAUGAAUAGAGUCAUUCAUGGAAUUUGUGCAUUUGCACAUUUCGUUCGUAUCGAAUGGAUCAUGCCAAAAGAAAGAAAGACUGGCCUUAACAUACCUAGAGUAGGAACAACUCCGUAUAAGUAUCCCGUUGGAAACCUUCGUGGAUUGAAUUUAGAACCCAAAAAAUUGAAUUAAGCUUCUGCUUUUAAAAUUCUUGAACGAAAACUGCUCCUGCCUCUUUGAAUAUUUUUGAACGAAAUUUCUAAGCUUCUGGAUUCUUGAAGCACUGAACGAAAGAAUGCAACUCCAAUUUCAAGCUUCAAGCUUCUUGAUUUUUGAGGAAUGAGUACGUUAAUCCUUUUUCAAAAUGAAAAAUGGAGACUUUGACAUAUGAUGUAUAUUUGGAACUUAAAGAACGUUCUGACUCCUCCAAAAGAAC
rnacentral:lncRNA from 1 species